CCUUCAACCCCAUCUUCUCUUCUUUUUGCCUAACAUAAUGUUUUUGAAGUUCAUCCAUGUUGUUGCAGUUCUAAGACAGAGCUUUUGUUAGAGACAUAGCUCCAGCCCAUCCACAGAAGUACCACUGACUGACCACAGACCACAGAUUGUUGGCUUCAGAACCACCAGCCACAGAAAGAGCUAAACUGACUUCCCUGCAUCCAACCAGGGGAAGAAUGACAAAUAACAAGGAAAAGAGCAACUAACACAAUGAUUUCAGACAGCAGUGAAGAAGACAGAGCAGGGUGACAUGACAGGAAGUGAUGGUGAAAAGGGAAAGUUACCACCUGGGACUGGAUAAGGUUACCACAUGUGGACGGACCUUUGGGUUGAUCUACCAGUUAUGAGAAGGGAAGAGAAUCUAGAGAAGAAGAACCUAGAGAAGGGCAGAUUGACCCCUGGAGUGAGCACCUUUUGGCCCAAGCAAGCUCAGUACUUCUGUGGAGCAGG
ensembl:lncRNA